UAGGGAAUAUUAGAAAUGGACGAAAGUCUGAUCUAGCAACACCGCGUGGACGAAGAAGGCCUUCGGGUUGUAAAGUUCUUUUAUAUGGGAUGAGGAAGGACAGCACCAUAUGAAUAAGUCCCGGCUAACUACGUGCCAGCAGCCGCGGUAAAACGUAGGAGACGAGCGUUAUCCGGAUUUACUGGGCGUAAAGAGCGUGUAGGAGGCAAUACAAGUUGGAUGUAAAAGCUCUCGGCUAAACUGAGAGAGGACGUUCAAGACUGUAGAGCUAGAGGAAGGCAGAGGUAGAUGGAACUCCGGGAGUAGUGGUGAAAUGCGUAGAUAUCCGGAAGAACACCAGAGGCGAAAGCGAUCUACUGGGCCUUAACAGACACUGAGACGCGAAAGCCAGGGUAGCAAACG
rnacentral:rRNA from 1 species